rnacentral:rRNA from 1 species
GAUGAACGCUAGCGACAGGCUUAACACAUGCAAGUCGAGGGGCAGCACGGGAGUAGCAAUACAACUGGUGGCGACCGGCGCACGGGCGAGUAACGCGUAUGCAACCUACCUAUCAGAGGGGAAUAACGCGGCGAAAGUCGGACUAAUACCGCAUAAAACAGCGGCCUCGCCUGGGGAUAUGUGUUAAAGAAAUUCGCUGAUACAUGGGCAUGCGUUCCAUUAGGUAGUUGGUGAGGUAGCGGCUCACCAAGGCGACGGUGGAUAGGGGAACUGAGAGGUUGGUCCCCCACACUGGUACUGAGACACGGACCAGACUCCUACGGGAGGCAGCAGUGAGGAAUAUUGGUCAAUGGGCGAGAGCCUGAACCAGCCAAGUCGCGUGAAGGAAGAAGGAUCUAUGGUUCGUAAACUUCUUUUGCAGGGGAAUAAAGUGCAGGACGUGUCCUGUUUUGUAUGUACCCUGAGAAUAAGGAUCGGCUAACUCCGUGCCAGCCGCCGCAGUAA